UGGGGAAUAUUGCGCAAUGGGGGCAACCCUGACGCAGCAACGCCGCGUGCGGGACGACGGCCUUCGGGUUGUAAACCGCUUUCAGCAGGGAAGAUAGUGACGGUACCUGCACAAGAAGCCCCGGCUAACUACGUGCCAGCAGCCGCGGUAAUACGUAGGGGGCGAGCGUUAUCCGGAUUCAUUGGGCGUAAAGCGCGCGCAGGCGGCUCUUCAAGCGGAACCUCUAACCCCGGGGCUCAACCUCGGGCCGGGUUCCGAACUGGAGGGCUCGAGUGCGGUAGAGGCAGGCGGAAUUCCCGGUGUAGCGGUGGAAUGCGCAGAUAUCGGGAGGAACACCGAUGGCGAAGGCAGCCUGCUGGGCCGGCACUGACGCUGAGGCGCGAAAGCUAGGGGAGCGAACAGG
rnacentral:rRNA from 1 species